rnacentral:rRNA from 1 species
CAGUCGACGGUACAGAAAGCAGCUUGCUGCUUUGCUGACGAGUGGCGGACGGGUGAGUAAUGUCUGGGAAACUGCCUGAUGGAGGGGGAUAACUACUGGAAACGGUAGCUAAUACCGCAUAACGUCGCAAGACCAAAGAGGGGGACCUUCGGGCCUCUUGCCAUCGGAUGUGCCCAGAUGGGAUUAGCUUGUUGGUGGGGUAACGGCUCACCAAGGCGACGAUCCCUAGCUGGUCUGAGAGGAUGACCAGCCACACUGGAACUGAGACACGGUCCAGACUCCUACGGGAGGCAGCAGUGGGGAAUAUUGCACAAUGGGCGCAAGCCUGAUGCAGCCAUGCCGCGUGUAUGAAGAAGGCCUUCGGGUUGUAAAGUACUUUCAGCGGGGAGGAAGGGAGUAAAGUUAAUACCUUUGCUCAUUGACGUUACCCGCAGAAGAAGCACCGGCUAACUCCGUGCCAGCAGCCGCGGUAAUACGGAGGGUGCAAGCGUUAAUCGGAAUUACUGGGCGUAAAGCGCACGCAGGCGGUUUGUUAAGUCAGAUGUGAAAUCCCCGGGCUCAACCUGGGAACUGCAUCUGAUACUGGCAAGCUUGAGUCUCGUAGAGGGGGGUAGAAUUCCAGGUGUAGCGGUGAAAUGCGUAGAGAUCUGGAGGAAUACCGGUGGCGAAGGCGGCCCCCUGGA